rnacentral:lncRNA from 1 species
CAAUCAAAGCUUCUAAAGGCGGACUGCACUAAUCACUUGAAGAAACAGCACGAGUCUAUCGCGCUUCGGAUCUUCCCAUCGCUACAAAACACAUUCUCAACACCGCACCAAAGACAAGCUUACGAGAAAGGAAAGACUGACUCUCUAACAGUGAAGGCUGAGACACUAGAGUCAAUGAAAACAACAAGACAGACAUGAUCCUAACUCCGCAGUACCAAGAAAAAUCUUAACUUAGGUCGAAG